rnacentral:lncRNA from 1 species
UUAAGAUACCUGUGUCCCUCUGCUCAUAGGAACGUGGUAAGCUGGGAACAGUGAAGCUGUGCAGCCCUUGAUCCCUCUAAAGAAGGCUUCCAAGUUGGUCAGAUGCUUUGCUUUUGAUUUCAUAUUUGUUGUAAUACAAACUGAGAGUGUGAAGAAAAAAUGAAAGACCAACCACCUGAUUCUUCACUAUUCCUCGCUCUUAUUGGAGGGGAACUCUAGCUGUGGGGCUGCUGCCUAGUAGCUGUGCCCAGUUCACUGACCUCGGUGGAAGUUCUGGAGUCCUCCAUGAAUUCAGGAAAGAAGUCUACGUGUCAAAAUCCCCUUUGGGCCUAUUUUUAAGCAUCUAGAUAUAUCUGAGAGCAGCUCCAGGAUUUGUAUGACUACAGUGCUCCUCAAGACUCAA